CUUUAUAUUCCAGACAGCUCUGCCUGAACUGACACUUUGUAUCUCUCUGAAAAGGGGACAACACAGCCUCACCUGCAGCCACCUGGACAGGGCAUCUUGUGUCUCCUGGGAGCCAUUUUAAAUACGUCAACAAUUACCAGAUUAACUUGGAAAUGGAGGCUGUUGGAAGGGAACCAUUGGGCCCUGUGAUUUAUUGCCGAAAUCAAGACAAGAACGGAAAUAAUGUUACCGCGGAGGAGAACAAAAAGGAGCAAAGGUAAA